rnacentral:rRNA from 1 species
UACGGAAGGCAGCAGUGGGGAAUAUUGCACAAUGGGCGAAAGCCUGAUGCAGCUAUGCCGCGUGUAUGAAGAAGGCCCUAGGGUUGUAAAGUACUUUCAUCGGGGAGGAAAAAACAAAACUAAUAAUUUUAUUUCUUGACGUUACCCGAAAAAGAAGCACCGGCUAACUCCGUGCCAGCAGCCGCGGUAAUACGGAGGGUGCUAGCGUUAAUCAGAAUUACUGGGCGUAAAGAGCACGUAGGUGGUUUUUUUAAGUCAGAUGUGAAAUCCCUGGGCUUAACCUGGAACUGCAUUUUGAAACUGAAAUACUAGAGUAUCGUAGAGGGAGGUAGAAUUCUAGGUGUAGCGGUGAAAUGCGUAGAUAUCUGGAGGAAUACCUGUGGCGAAAGCGGCCUCCUAAACGAAUACUGACACUGAGGUGCGAAAGCGUGGGGAGCAAACAGGGAUUAGAUACC